UGAAAACAAGUGUGUGGCCAGUAUAGGUGGUUGGGUAUGUCACCGUAUGUAUGUGUGUAUAAGUAAAUCACCAACCAGGAACUGAAGGAGAGCCAAUCAACUCAAGACUUCCCCUUUAAGGAUCGCCGCAUUCCAUUCAGGCCCUAUAAGUCAGCUUCAAGGGGUGGUUGAUAUAAAUGUGUGAAUGUGGACACCGUGUGAACAUGUGAAGGUGGACACUUGUGAAUGCGGACUGUUACAGAUUCUUCGAUGCAGAAGACAAAUAUUCCGCGAAGUGCGCCAGCAUUCCACUUGAGAACCAAAACUCGGGCCGAGAAAUCAUCCUGCAGAAAACUGUGUGUGUUCGUGGACCAUAGUACACUAGAAAAGUAAGAA